CAGGUGAAGUAAAAGAAAUUGUCAUUAUGAGAGCUUAUGUGGCAAAGUGACAUCACAAAAUCAUUAAAUUAAAUAAAAAUGAUGUCACCAUAAAGAGCUGUUUGGAGAUAAAGCUUCUAUGAAGGGUGCUAUUUCCCUAUUAAAGUGGAUUAGCAUUUAAAAACAUGUCAUAGACAAAUUUGGGGGUACUUCUGAAGUUAAGGAGUGCUGAAUUUGUGUUCCAAGAUUUGGGUUAUAAAAAUGUAUGCAAGUUCUGCACAUGCAACCCUUUCCAUUUUGAGGGCUGGGUUUGUGUGAACAUCUGCCAGCUCAACAGAAAGAAGAGCUCUGAUUUUACAGUGUUUAUAAAGCCAGGAGCGUUUUUCAACACAUUCCAAAGCCCCUUAAUGCUACUUCACCGGAUCAGCCUCCUGAAGAUGCAAAAACUGAGCUGUAGAGAGGAUAUGUUGCUUGCCUACAGCCACAAGACUUUCUUACAAGCAGCAGACCUGUCUCCUGCGUACUUGUUUAUUGGUUCCUUUACAUACUCUGCAUACUGUUGUUUGCACCAUUCCUCCCAAUAUUUCCAAUACAAGUAUCCUAUAGGUACAGGACGAUGGACAUUCAUCAGCCUGGAUGACUGCCAUACUACAUGGAGAUAACGCAUCGGAGGCCAGGAAAAAUCAGUAUUUGGAUGAAGUCACACAACUCUGCUGCACAGCCAGGCACAGAAUCCAUGGCUUUUGAUGCCCUAUUGAUUAUUCUUUUCACCACACCUGCUUUAUUCCUGAUAAGAAAUUUCAUCCCAGAGAAAUGUUCAUGGCCAUCAUAAAACUGGUGAAAGAGAAAACUGGCUAGUGGGGUAGAUAUUUUCUUGAAAAUUUUCUUGAAGUGGUAUAUCUGCCUACUCUAACCAACACACACACGCACGCACGCAUGUGUGCACACACUAACAUAAGUGAUUAUGAGAUCUUGAAGAUAAAGUAAUCUCUUAUUUGUGAUCCCAGAGGAGAAACCUCAUUUUAUGCACAUAAUUAAGAUAAACUUAAAUGUUCUAGGCACAUUUUAGGGUCUCUAAAGCAUCUAGGGUACAUGUUUUACAUUCUUAGCUUGUAUUUGUACUGCAUAUUUUUAUCAUGUCUAUUUAGUAUAGGGAUGAUGACUAUGAGGACAGCAGAUAUGAAUUUAGUUUCAGACCAUACUGCAUUAAAAUGUCUGCUUAAGUUUUAUUCCAUAUGCCACUUUGGGAAACUCAAUAUUGUAACAUUGAGCACUCAAUUAUUUGUCCUUGGUUCUCAACGAUUAUACAUAGGGUGGAAUAGGUGCUGUCCGUCGAUGUAUUUAUCCACAUGCUCCUAUGUCUCACAUUUAUGUGCAUAACAGCAUGAGUUUAAACAUAUAGCAUUUUCCUUCUUUUCCUAAGAGGUAUGUAUCCAGCAGUUUAGAAGUGCCCAGGAAUUCUACCCACCAACACUCUAAUUCCACAUUAAAAAUUGCCCCACAACCAGUGAUUAAUAAAUGGCCUUGUGCUAUAAAUGAUCAAUCCCCUCACCCUUCAGUUGGAACAGUUCUGGGGCACACAGUCACAUUGAUUUGUGGGAUUCCUCAACAGAUUUAUGUUCUACUUGCCAAUAGUGGCAACUUGUAUGAUGACAUGUGCUCUAUUGGUUUUGUUUCCCUUUCUGAGUCAUUUUUCCAGUCUCCUACCAGAGUUUCCUACACUAAGCUCCA
ensembl:lncRNA